rnacentral:rRNA from 1 species
CUACGGGCCGCUGCAGUGGGGAAUAUUGCACAAUGGAGGAAACUCUGAUGCAGCAACGCCGCGUGGAGGAUGACACUUUUCGGAGCGUAAACUCCUUUUAUAUAGGAAGAAGAUGACGGUACUAUAUGAAUAAGCGCCGGCUAACUCCGUGCCAGCAGCCGCGGUAAUACGGAGGGCGCAAGCGUUACUCGGAAUCACUGGGCGUAAAGAGCGUGUAGGCGGAUUAAAAAGUCAGAAGUGAGAUCCUAUAGCUUAACUAUAGAACUGCUUCUGAAACUCUUAAUCUAGAAUAUGGGAGAGGUAGAUGGAAUUUCCGGUGUAGGGGUAAAAUCCGUAGAGAUCAGAAGGAAUACCGAUUGCGAAGGCGAUCUACUAGAACAUUAUUGACGCUGAGACGCGAAAGCGUGGGGAGCAAACAGGAUUAGAUACCCUCGUAGUC